GAUGAACGCUGGCGGCGUGCCUCAAACAUGCAAGUCGAGCGGGGCUAUGUAAUAUCGCAAGGUAGAACAUAGCCUAGCGGCGAACGGGUGAGUAACACGUGGGUAACCUGCCUGGAAGACAGGGAUAACGAUUCGAAAGGGUCGCUAAUACCUGAUAAUAUCCUUUCAUCGCAUGGUGAUAGGAAGAAAGGGGAAACCCGCUUUCAGAUGGGCCCGCGUCCCAUCAGCUAGUUGGUAAGGUAAAGGCUUACCAAGGCGACCACNGGUAGCCGGUCUGAGAGGAUGUACGGCCCACUGGGACUGAGAUACGCCCAGACUCCUACCGGAGGCAGCAGUUGGGAAUCUUAAGCCAUGGACGAAAGUCUGACCUAACGACGCCCCGUGAGGGAAGAAGGCUUCCGGUUGUAAACCUCUGUCAUGGGGGAAGAAAGAAGUGACGGUACCCCCAGAAGAAGCCCUGCUACUACGUGCCACCAGCCCCGGUAUACUAAGGGGCGAGCGUUAUCCGGAUUAUUGGCGUAAANGGCGAGUAAGCGGCUGUUAAUCAGGUGG
rnacentral:rRNA from 1 species